ACACCUCAACUCUCACGGUUCGCCGCGAUGAGCUUGGACUUGGGGGUUUUGCUGGCAUGCAGCCAGCUCCUCUCAAAUGAAUCAGCUUACCAGUCUUUGGUGGCGUCACGGGUGUGAUAACUAUCUACGCUUGUGGGUCGUCCGCCAGGUAACCUUCAGCGAUGGAGGUUUGCUGGAGCUUAUAAAUGUCUCUCCUCAGCGAGGACAAGUUUUUGAAC
rnacentral:misc_RNA from 1 species